CCUACGGGAGGCAGCAGUGGGGAAUAUUGCACAAUGGGGGAAACCCUGAUGCAGCGACGCCGCGUGAGUGAAGAAGUAUUUCGGUAUGUAAAGCUCUAUCAGCAGGGAAGAAAAUGACGGUACCUGAUUAAGAAGCCCCGGCUAACUACGUGCCAGCAGCCGCGGUAAUACGUAGGGGGCAAGCGUUAUCCGGAUUUACUGGGUGUAAAGGGAGCGUAGACGGCAGCACAAGUCUGGAGUGAAAUGCCGGGGCUUAACCCCGGAACUGCUUUGGAAACUGUGCAGCUAGAGUGCAGGAGAGGUAAGUGGAAUUCCUAGUGUAGCGGUGAAAUGCGUAGAUAUUAGGAGGAACACCAGUGGCGAAGGCGGCUUACUGGACUGUAACUGACGUUGAGGCUCGAAAGCGUGGGGAGCAAACAGGAUUAGAUACCCCAGUAGUC
rnacentral:rRNA from 1 species